CCAGGGGGUCCGCCCCAAAUCCCGGGGGGUUCCCCUGAGACCAGGGAGCCACGGCCCCGCAGCUCCCGCAGAACGCCAGGGGGCUGGGGGCACGCUGCCUGCACCCACUGCGGGGUUUUUGGGUUUUUUUUUGGGAUCAAUAAAGGCUGUGGGGUCCCUGGGCAUGAGCUGGUGGUUAUUGGGGUGUUGGAGGUAGGGUGGAUUGAGUGGGGGGGCUUUUGGGGUUUCUUUAGGGUGGAUGAAGGGCCUUUUUGGGGUGCUUUUUGGGGGAGGGGGUGUUUUUUGGGGUGUUUUACUGUGGAUGAGGGGCCUUUAGGGUCCUUUGUGCAGGGUGCUUUUUGGGGUUGGGAGGCUUUUUGGGGUAGUUUCUGGUGGAUGGGGCCUUUUUGGGGUGCUCUGUGCAGGGCUACAUCUUUGAGGCCAAAAAGCUAGUGCAGCACCCCCGGGGGGCCACCCCAAACCCUGGGGGGGUUCCUCCCCAAAUCUGGGGGGCCGCAGCCCCACAGAACACCAGGGCACUGGAGGGGGUUUGGGGCACGCUGCCUGCACCCACUGUGGGGUUUUGAGGGGGACAUUUUGGG
rnacentral:lncRNA from 1 species